rnacentral:rRNA from 1 species
AGAGUUUGAUCCUGGCUCAGGACGAACGCUGGCGGUGUGCUUAACACAUGCAAGUCGAACGGUAAGGCCCUUUUUUGGGGUACACGAGUGGCGAACGGGUGAGUAACACGUGAGUAACCUGCCCUCAUCUCUGGGAUAACAGUCGGAAACGGUUGCUAAUACUGGAUAUGAGCUUGCAAGGCAUCUUGUGGGUUGGAAAGAUAUUUUUUGGUUGGGGAUGGACUCGCGGCCUAUCAGCUUGUUGGUGAGGUAGUGGCUCACCAAGGCUUCGACGGGUAGCCGGCCUGAGAGGGCGACCGGCCACAUUGGGACUGAGAUACGGCCCAAACUCCUACGGGAGGCAGCAGUGGGGAAUAUUGCACAAUGGACGGAAGUCUGAUGCAGCAACGCCGCGUGCGGGAUGACGGCCUUCGGGUUGUAAACCGCUUUCAAUUGUGACGAAGCUUUUUGUGACGGUAGCAGUAGAAGAAGCACCGGCUAACUACGUGCCAGCAGCCGCGGUGAUACGUAGGGUGCGAGCGUUGUCCGGAUUUAUUGGGCGUAAAGAGCUUGUAGGCGGUUUGUCGCGUCGGGAGUGAAAACUUGGGGCUUAACCCUGAGCUUGCUUUCGAUACGGGCUGACUUGAGGGAGGUAGGGGAGAAUGGAAUUCCUGGUGGAGCGGUGGAAUGCGCAGAUAUCAGGAGGAACACCGGUGGCGAAGGCGGUUCUCUGGACCUUUCCUGACGCUGAGAAGCGAAAGCGUGGGGAGCGAACAGGCUUAGAUACCCUGGUAGUCCACGCCGUAAACGGUGGGUACUAGGUGUGGGGGACAUUCCACGUUCUCCGUGCCGUAGCUAACGCAUUAAGUACCCCGCCUGGGGAGUACGGCCGCAAGGCUAAAACUCAAAGGAAUUGACGGGGCCCCGCACAAGCGGCGGAGCAUGCGGAUUAAUUCGAUGCAACGCGAAGAACCUUA